CGUUGUGAGAGAGCAAUCAGCUGACACGUUUCUACGACAAAAAUCCAAAUGCCGUGGAAAUCUACUAGCGGAAACAGCCAAAAACGCUACUCCCUUCCUUCCUUUGCCUUCCUUAGGGAGCAAAAUUUGUUAAAAGUUGAGCACAUAGGAAAAACGUAGAAAUCAGCUGUUCUCUUUUGUUUACAUUUCAUAUAAUUCAAAAAAUUGUGUCAGGAGCAAUAUGGAAGUGGACAAUAGCAGUGAAAUGUUUUUAAGUUUGUGCGAAUUUUUAUAUGUAUAUACUUUAUAUAAAAACAAAAAAGGAAAGAGAAGGUACCAAAUUGGCCCAAUCAAUAAAAACUGGAGCUUUUGCGGUUACCAGUUAAAAACUUUUCUGGUAAUGAAAAACAACGAACCAGAACAACUUUUUUUGCAUACAAGGAUGCCGCCGGCCAUCUAUAAUUUGCUUCCCAAUUUAGUAUGGAAAUCCGUGAAGAAGCCAAGGCAGCGGAUUAGACCCGAGGAAAGGCUCUCGUUGGUAUUACUGCGUGUCGGUGCAGAGCAUUGCAUGGAGCUAUAAGUUAGGAAAGUCAACACGCGAAAUCAUAUUAGAGUCGUGUGAUGUAAUCUGGCAGCUACUUUCCCCAAUUUAUGUAAGCGAGCUAACAGAGUCUCAAUACGAGGACAUUGAAAAAGAUUUUUAUAAUAUGUGGAACAUUCCGAAUUGUGUCGGUGCAAUUGAUGGUAAGCACGUUGCUAUUAAGUGCCCGGCCAAUUCCAAUUCGAUGUUCUACAAUUAUGAAAAAUUAUUUAUCAUCAUUUUUAUGGCUGUAUGUGAUACGAAAUAUACGUUCACAGCAGUUAGUAUUGGCAGCUAUGGAAGUCAAAGUGACGGAGGAAUCUUUCGAUUUACUCCAUUUCGUCAUGCAUUAAUACAAAACACUCUGACUUUGCCACCACAUGUGCCACUGUCUGACGUGUCACCCGAAUCAUUUCCUUACUUUUUCGUUGGAGAUGCUGCAUUCCCAUUACGAAGUAAUUUAAUGUGCCCGUUUCCCGGAGCUAAUCUAACACACACGAAACGCCUUUUCAAUUAUCGAUUGUCACGCGUUCGUAUAGUCAUAGAAAAUUCCUUUGGUAUAUUGACUGCCCGAUGGAGAAUUUUGAAAACAACGAUUGAAUGUAAUCCAGAAAAUUGUGAAAAAAUUGUGUUGGCUUACUUGUAGUUCGAGUGGAAGGACAUAACAUUGUUUAUGCCGGUGAGUGGCGCAGCGAAAAUUAAAACAACUCUUUACGACCAAUGCGAACUUAGGUACGUAGAGGUCCUUCAAAUGCGUUUAACUUACGGCAGGGACAUGAAGAGGGAAGUGAGAGCAACGUAUUUUAACACACCAUGUUUACAAAUGAGAGCGCCCGCUUAUAUGGGAAGUUGAA